AGUGAACGCUGGCGGUAGGCCUAACACAUGCCAGUCGAACGGCAGCACAGUAAGAGCUUGCUCUUACGGGUGGCGAGUGGCGGACGGGUGAGGAAUACAUCGGAAUCUACUUUUUCGUGGGGGAUAACGUAGGGAAACUUGCGCUAAUACCGCAUACGACCUACGGGUGAAAGCAGGGGAUCUUCGGACCUUGCGCGAUUGAAUGAGCCGAUGUCGGAUUAGCUAGUUGGCGGGGUAAAGGCCCACCAAGGCGACGAUCCGUAGCUGGUCUGAGAGGAUGAUCAGCCACACUGGAACUGAGACACGGUCCAGACUCCUACGAGAGGCAGCAGUGGGGAAUAUUGGACAAUGGGCGCAAGCCUGAUCCAGCCAUACCGCGUGGGUGAAGAAGGCCUUCGGGUUGUAAAGCCCUUUUGUUGGGAAAGAAAAGCAGCAGGUUAAUACCCCGCUGUUCUGACGGUACCCAAAGAAUAAGCACCGGCUAACUUCGUG
rnacentral:rRNA from 1 species